CAUCAGAUAACUCUUCAAGACACUGGGGCAUAGCACAAUAAAGAACAAAAAGAGAAGAUAAUUUUGUAACUCUUUACAGCAGUGAUGGGAAACUAAUACAUGCCUGAUAUAAAUAGGGGUCUUGGAAAAGGAACUACUGGAACUGAAUUAUUUGAUCAUGAAAAUACAAUUUCACUGUCAAUGCCAACCUGGGAUGGUAGAAAGACCAUGGAAUCUCAAUGGAAUUGGAAUUCCAGUGUUCUUCUUACAAGGUAUGGGUAUUGGGUAAGAUACUUAAUCUGUCUGUAUCUCUGUCUCCUUAUCUGUAAAAGUAAAUAUUUUCUUCAUAGGGAUAGUAAGGAUAUACUAUUUGUACUUAGGAAAAACAACAUGACAAUGUCUAUGACAGUGCCUAGCUCUUAACAGGCACUCAAUAAAAAUUAAUUCUAUUCUUUAUACCCUUCUCA
rnacentral:lncRNA from 1 species